UACGGAGGGUGCAAGCGUUGCUCGGAAUUAUUGGGCGUAAAGGGUAGGUAGGUGGUCUCAUUUGUCUGGGGUGAAAUCCUUGGGCUUAACCCAAGAAGUGCCUCAGAAACGGUGAGACUAGAGUCCUGGAGAGGGUCGUGGAAUUCCCGGUGUAGCGGUGAAAUGCGUAGAGAUCGGGAGGAACACCAGAGGCGAAAGCGGCGGCCUGGACAGGAACUGACACUCAACUACGAAAGCGUGGGGAGCAAACAGG
rnacentral:rRNA from 1 species